AGAUAAUCUCUGCCUUUAGGCUAAGAUCAAGUGUAGUAUCUGUUAUUGUCAAUUUAAAAUCUGAACAAAAUUUUAGAACGGGAAAUGGAAAAUGGGCUUAAUCUGU
ensembl:snRNA U2 U2 spliceosomal RNA